GAUGAACGCUAGCGACAGGCCUAACACAUGCAAGUCGAGGGGCAGCGCGGAGUAGCAAUACUUUGGCGGCGACCGGCGCACGGGUGAGUAACACGUAUGCAACCAACCCAUAACAGGGGGGAUAACCCGGAGAAAUCCGGACUAAUACCGCAUAAGACCACGAUAUCGCAUGAUAUAGAGGUCAAAAUAUUUAUAGGUUAUGGACGGGCAUGCGUCUGAUUAGCUGGUUGGCGGGGUAACGGCCCACCAAGGCAUCGAUCAGUAGGGGUUCUGAGAGGAAGGUCCCCCACAUUGGAACUGAGACACGGUCCAAACUCCUACGGGAGGCAGCAGUGAGGAAUAUUGCGCAAUGGGGGGAACCCUGACGCAGCGACGCCGCGUGAAGGAUGAAGGUUUUCGGAUUGUAAACUGCUUUUGUACGGAACGAAACGGUCUGCCCUAAUACGGCGGGCUAAUGACGGUACCGUAAGAAUAAGCACCGGCUAACACGUGCCAGCAGACCGCGGUAAAAGCC
rnacentral:rRNA from 1 species